UUCAUGCUGCACAGUAAAAGAAGAAAGGUGGCACAUGCUUGACACUAGCAGCCUGAUAUUUGACAAGUGAGUUUUAGAUAGGAAGAUGGAGGAUUUUUCUCUUAAAUUGAUGUUUAUAAACAUUAAUUAAGCUUAAAAUUCCUAUUAAUAUUCAUCCUUUUUACAAUCACAGAAGCUCAUUGAUUUAACUUCAGUCCAGGCACAAACAAGGGAGGACCUGGUUUUGGCUAGGCACUGACCGUCAUUGGCUUCAGCAUGACAUCCUCAGCAGGUCUGGAUGGCUCCUCUGUGACACAAGUCCUGCUGUCCAAGCACCAUCAGCAAUCCCACCUGGCUGGCUGGACUACAAAUUUUACUGAUGCCAUCAUCCCAAAACUCUCUAACCUGUUAUCAGAAGGCAAAAUGUGCUUGUGGUGUGUUAGGAGACAGCAAAGCCAGUGUGUUUUUCUUUUUUUUUUUUAAGAGGCUAUACUCAUUUUUCUUAAAUCCCAUCCUCAGUUUGCAUUGUAACAUAUAAUACUCAUUUUGCAGGUGCUGAGGUUUUUUUCCUCGGAUAAAAAGGAAUUCUGCCCAUUGCUUGUGGGUAGAAUGUGAGGACUUGCCUUGUCUGUGUAUAUGUUACUGACUGUAAGAAGAGAAGACUGGAGAACACCGAGAGGGGAUCCUAUCUUCUAUAUGGAGACUGUAAACUGGAUGGGGCCAGGCUCUGUUCAGUGGUGUGCAGUGACAGGGCAAGGCGUAAUGAGCACAAACAGGAACACAAGAAGUUCUAUCUGAACAUGAGGAAUAUCUUCUUUACUGUGAAGGUAACAGAGCACUGGAACAAGCUGCUCAAAGAAGUUGUGGAGAUUCAGAACCAGCCUGGAAGCUUUCCUGUGCAACCUACUGUAGGGAACCUGCAGGAGGGUUGCACUCGAUCUCCAGAGGCCCCUUCCAACUCCUAUAAUUCUGUGAUUCUGUGAUGGUGUGAUUUGAAAAUACAAGUUACCUGACAGUUCUGCAUGCCACCAGUUAUGGUUUCUUACAUGAAAAUUCAGUGCAAGAAGUAAAAAUAUCUGAUCUUGUAGGAAAAUACACCUUAAAAUUAUUACAAGUAAUUUUUCCCUUCCUUACUGGAAAUUUCUGGGAUGAUUCC
rnacentral:lncRNA from 1 species